rnacentral:lncRNA from 1 species
GUGAUUGAUUGAUUGAUUGUUGGUUGCUUAACGUCCAGUGGCAAAUAUUUCAUGCAUAUUCAGGACGAAAACAAGUUCACAAUAAAUACAAUAGGUAGGUUGUUGUAAUAGAGGCCAUCUAGGAUUAUGGUCGUGAAAAUUUGGACUGCCACUGGAAAAUGAGGGUAUAUUGGAUAGGGACAGAAAUUUUGCCUUGCAACCAGGCCACCUACGGACCCCUCAAAGAGUUGCUGCAAGGGUUCUUAACGUGCAAAGAGCGUGGCACUCUCUUUACACGAGGCAUCGGAUUUAACGUCCCCUUCUGACGGACGUGACUGCGAACUUGAUACAUCCCGCACAGCCAAACGGACGCCCCACUUCAGCAAGCGUUUUACUGCCGGUCGGGAGAAGACCAAGUGACCAUAUUUCUAUACCCCAGUCAC